UGCAGUCGUACGAGAGCACCUCGUGGCGCGGGUGAGUGGGGACGGUAACCUACCCCAGGGCUGGCUACCGCGGGAAACCGCGGGUAAUAUCGCGACGUGGCCGGGGGGCAUCUUCUGGCACCAAAGGUGUGAUUCGCCCUGGGACGGGCCGUCGUGGUAUUAGGAGUUGGCGGGAACGGCCCACGCCUUUGAUGCCUACCGGGCGUGCGACGUGCCCGGCCUGGACUGAGACCUGCCCAAUCCUAGAGGCGCUCAAAUCUUCGGGGGCAAGCCUGACCGAGCGCCGCGUGAGGACGAAGCCUUCGGGUUGUAAGUCAGGGGUUGUAAAGCGCUGUCGAGGGGGAGGAAAGCCCGAAAGGGUCUGACCUAUCCCUGGAGGAAGCACGGGCUAAGUUCGUGCCAGCAGCCGCGGUAAGACGAACCGUGCGAACGUUGUUCGGAAUCACUGGGCUUAAAGGGCGCGUAGGCGGCUUGCCAAGUCAGGGGUGAAAUCUUUCGGCUUAACCGGAAAAGUGCCUUUGAUACUGGCGAGCUAGAGCGAGGUAGGGGCAUGUGGAACUUCCGGUGGAGCGGUGAAAUGCGUUGAUAUCGGAAGGAACGCCGGUGGCGAAAGCGACGUGCUGGACCUUUUCUGACGCUGAGGCGCGAAAGCUAGGGGAGCGAACGGGAUUAGAUACCCCGGUAGUUCUAGCCCUAAACGAUGGGUACUAGGUAGUGACUUGACAUGGGUUCACUGCCGAACAAAAGUGCUAAGUACCCCGCCUGGGGAGUAUGGUCGCAAGGCUG
rnacentral:rRNA from 1 species